rnacentral:rRNA from 1 species
AUUCCAAUCGAACUCGGAGAUAGCUGGUUCUCCCCGAAAUAGCUUUAGGGCUAGCCUGAGGUAGUAAGUAUAGGCGGUAGAGCACUGAUCGGGCUAGGGGCCGUAAAGGUUACCGAACCCUGUCAAACUCCGAAUGGAUAUACUGUAGAGCCUUGGAGUCAGACUACGAGUGAUAAGAUCCGUGGUCAAAAGGGAAACAGCCCAGACCACCAGCUAAGGUCCCCAAUGUCGUACUAAGUGGAAAAGGAUGUGGGGUUUCAUAAACAACCAGGAUGUUGGCUCAGAAGCAGCCACCAUUUAAAGAGUGCGUAAUAGCUCACUGGUCGAGAGACCCUGCGCCGAAGAUUCCCGGGGCUAAAGUACGAAACCGAAGCUGUGGCUGUAUACGUAAAGUAUACGGGGUAGGGGAGCGUUCCCAUAGGGUAGAAGUCGAACUGGAAGGUUCGGUGGACUUGUGGGAAGUGAGAAUGUUGGUAUGAGUAGCGAAAAGAAAGGUGAGAAUCCUUUCCACCGAAAGCAUAAGGAUUCCUGAGCAACGAUCGUCGUCUCAGGGUAAGUCGGGACCUAAUCCGAGGCAGAGAGCGUAGGAGAUGGACAACUGGUUGAUAUUCCAGUACCGGUAGUAAUUGUUUGAGCAAUGGAGUGACACAGAAGGGCAGGCAAGCAUGCGAAUGGAAGAGCAUGUGUAAGCGUGUAGGGUGGUGCAUAGGCAAAUCCGUGCACUGAAAGCCUGAGGCGUGAUGCGGAGUGAGCAGAGAUGCGAGCGAAGUUGUUGACCCCACACUGUCGAGAAAAGCUUCUAGUGAGAGAGCUACCGCCCGUACCGUAAACCGACACAGGUAUGCGGGGAGAGAAUCCUAAGGUGCGCGGGAGAACCCUCGUUAAGGAACUCGGCAAAAUGUACCCGUAACUUCGGGAUAAGGGUAGCCACUGUUGUGAAGUCCCAUGCGGAUGGAGCAUAGAGUGGUCGCAGAGAAGAGGCCCAAGCGACUGUUUACCAUAAACACAGGUGCCUGCUAAAGCGAAAGCUGACGUAUAGGUGCUGACACCUGCCCAGUGCCGGAAGGUUAAGGAAGGAUGUUCGGAUUAGUCCAAAGCAUUCGACUGAAGCCCCGGUGAACGGCGGCCGUAACUAUAACGGUCCUAAGGUAGCGAAAUUCCUUGUCGGGUAAG